rfam:Schistosoma margrebowiei strain Zambia genome assembly, scaffold: SMRZ_scaffold0000776
GCACUGUCGAAGAGUCCCACAAUAGGACGAAACGACCUUCCAGUGC